GCAUCAUUUUGCAUUCCCACCAGUGGUGAUGAAGCUUCCAAUUUCUCCCAGAUCAUGAUUUAACACUCAUUUUUAUUAAAUGCAACAACCCUUCCUGCAUCUGGCCUGAGUGUCCUGGGCCAGCCAACUGCUUGCUCUCCAUCUUUCCUGUUUGGUCAGAGGCCCUGGGUGCAGCCAGUGGGUUACGCACUCUGAUCCCCUCAGUGACUUCUCCUGGGAGGUCACCAAGGAUACUCAUUCAGUCAGGUCUUCCAGAGCCACAGUGUUGAUCCUGCAGUGAGGACAUGAGUGUGCAGUGACUGGACUCUCUCAGGCAGUCGUGGAAGCAGAGGAUUGCUCUGGCCAGCCUGGAGACAGUUCCCAUUGGUUCCUGGACUUGAUCUGAAUCAACUCCUUCUUCCUCACCAUCUCUUGCCUGGUGCUGCUGGCUGAGACGUUGCACCUGUGGGGGCUGUCCACUCCCAGCUCACGUCUUCUGGCAGCUCCUUACUCUAUUCUAAUGCGCCUAGUGGUACUGCCGAUUUUCUCUUUUCCCAGACACCUCUCUCCACACUCCUUCUCCCACAUUGGCCUGGCCCUCAUGGCUCUUUGAUCCUCAUGGAACAUUCUAUUGUCUCCUAGGUGAGAAGAAAAGGCAUCCCAGCUUAUAUUCAGACACAUGGCCUUGAACUCGUAAUAACUCACACAUGUAAGCCACAAUAACUUCAUUUGCAUGCAACCACCUUGAAUGAAUGGUCUCAGUAAAUGUGUCAUUUAUUCUCAAUAUUCUGGAGUGCUGGAAAAAAUGGGGAGUCAAAGGAUCCCUCAGUCUGCUGGUGUGACCUGGGGCACCCAUCCCUGUUCCCUCUCCUCUUACAUGGGAUAAAACCCCAGUGGAGCCGUGUCUCUGGAUCACUGUGAUGGAUUAGGUGUUCUGCUGAGAGCUGGGCUGUCUGCUUAGAAAUCAGCCUCCAGGCCUGACUUUUGGCCUCUGCCCCGCCUGUGGAGUCGGUGCGGGCUCCAGAUUCCAGAGGCGAAGGAUACAUCCUAGUGCCAGCUCAGAUCUGAAACAGGCGUGCCCUUCGUUUUCAGCCAAUGCAGAAGAUGUCUAUUUGUGCUGCACGGCCCAGAAGGGAACUGCCAGUUCAGAAAAUGUCAGGUCAACUUGAUGCUCCCGGUUGACAUUUGGCACUGGCUUGGGGGAGCAGGAAGGAAGGGGAGGAAAAGGACGUGGAGAAGAACCUAGGAAGGAUUCGUACUUUCGUGCUUUUCUUCUUUUCUCCUCUCCUCCUCUUCCAGUCUGCUCCAG
rnacentral:lncRNA from 1 species